rnacentral:lncRNA from 1 species
CGAGGAGAGGCAAGAAAUGUAGACAGGCCGGUGGAAUCUUCGCAAAGUAGCUGAACCAGAUGGCCACUGGCAGAGCUGCCGGAAGGUUGUCAGUGCUGCAGAGGCUGGGAUUGUGAGCUCUGAAGUCUACCUCCACAGUCCUCUGGCUUCCUGGACUAGGGGCAGAUGUCAGAUGGAUUUCCUGAAAGCCCUUGUACCUGUGAAGUUGAAAAUAAACACUGUGC